GUAACAAACGGCUCGUCUGAAAUGCCUGAGUGUACCCUGCUUUGCGGCGUAUUCGGUGUGAUAAAAUCUUCACCGGAGUCUUGACCCAUGCGGUCAGCGCUUUGUAAGGUUUGGCUCUAUGCUUUCCAACCGUCCCUAACAAGGACAAACUACUCUGACAAUUUGACCUCAAAUCGGGUGGGACUACCCGCUGAACUUAA
rnacentral:misc_RNA from 1 species